AUUGAACGCUGGCGGCAUGCUUUACACAUGCAAGUCGAACGGUAACAGGCCGCAAGGUGCUGACGAGUGGCGAACGGGUGAGUAAUGCAUCGGAACGUGCCCAGUCGUGGGGGAUAACUACUCGAAAGAGUAGCUAAUACCGCAUACGAUCUAUGGAUGAAAGCGGGGGACCGUAAGGCCUCGCGCGAUUGGAGCGGCCGAUGUCAGAUUAUGUAGUUGGUGGGGUAAAGGCUCACCAAGCCAACGAUCUGUAGCUGGUCUGAGAGGACGACCAGCCACACUGUGACUGAGACACGGCCCAGACUCCUACGGGAGGCAGCAGUGGGGAAUUUUGGACAAUGGGCGCAAGCCUGAUCCAGCAAUGCCGCGUGCAGGAAGAAGGCCUUCGGGUUGUAAACUGCUUUUGUACGGAACGAAACGGCUCUGGUUAAUACCCGGGGCUAAUGACGGUACCGUAAGAAUAAGCACCGGCUAACUACGUG
rnacentral:rRNA from 1 species